rnacentral:rRNA from 1 species
CCUACGGGAGGCAGCAGUGGGGAAUCUUGCGCAAUGGGCGAAAGCCUGACGCAGCCAUGCCGCGUGAAUGAUGAAGGUCUUAGGAUUGUAAAAUUCUUUCACCGGGGACGAUAAUGACGGUACCCGGAGAAGAAGCCCCGGCUAACUUCGUGCCAGCAGCCGCGGUAAUACGAAGGGGGCUAGCGUUGCUCGGAAUUACUGGGCGUAAAGGGAGCGUAGGCGGAUAGUUUAGUCAGAGGUGAAAGCCCAGGGCUCAACCUUGGAAUUGCCUUUGAUACUGGCUAUCUUGAGUAUGGGAGAGGUUAGCGGAACUCCGAGUGUAGAGGUGAAAUUCGUAGAUAUUCGGAAGAACACCAGUGGCGAAGGCGGCUAACUGGCCCAUUACUGACGCUGAGGCUCGAAAGCGUGGGGAGCAAACAGGAUUAGAUACCCUGGUAGUCCACGCCGUAAACGAUGAGUGCUAGUUGUCGGCAUGCAUGCAUGUCGGUGACGCAGCUAACGACAUUAAGUACACUCCGCCGUCGGGGAGGUACGGUCGGCGAAGAAGUUAAAACUUAAAAGGUAAAGUUAGACGGACGUGAGACGUAGCCGAACGGACGACGACGAGGGAGGUAGG